AUACGGAGGGUGCAAGCGUUAAUCGGAAUUAUUGGGCGUAAAGAGCACGUAGGUGGAUUUGUUAGUCAGAUGUGAAAGCCUUUUGUUCAACGGAAGAAUUGCAUCUGAAACUACAAACCUUGAGUAUAUGAGGGGAGAGUGGAACUUCUGGUGGAGCGGUGAAAUGCGCAGAUAUCAGAAGGAACGCCGGCGGCGAAAGCGACUCUCUGGCCUAUAACUGACACUGAGUGUGCGAAAGCUAGGGGAGCAAACGGAAUUAGAUACCCGAGUAGUCC
rnacentral:rRNA from 1 species